UGGGUAAUCUUUUGAAACUUCAUCGUGCUGGGGAUAGAGCAUUGCAACUAUUGCUCUUGAACGAGGAAUCCCUAGUAAGUACAAGUCACUAGCUUGUGCUGAUUACGUCCCUGCCCUUUGUACACACCGCCCGUCGCUACUACCGAUUGAAUGGCUUAGUGAGGCCUUCGGAUUGAGAUUAGGAGACUGGCAACAGACUCCUGGUUUUGAAAAGUUGGACAAACUUGGUCAUUUAGAGGAAGUAAAAGUCGUAACAAGGUUUCCGUAGGUGAACCUGCGG
rnacentral:rRNA from 1 species